rnacentral:rRNA from 1 species
ACGAACGCUGGCGGCGUGCUUAACACCUGCAAGUCGAACGGAAAGACCCUGCUUUUGUGGGGUGCUCGAGUGGCGAACGGGUGAGUAACACGUGAGUAACCUGCCCUUGACUUUGGGAUAACUUCAGGAAACUGGGGCUAAUACCGGAUAGGAGCUCCUGCUGCAUGGUGGGGGUUGGAAAGUUUCGGCGGUUGGGGAUGGACUCGCGGCUUAUCAGCUUGUUGGUGGGGUAGUGGCUUACCAAGGCUUUGACGGGUAGCCGGCCUGAGAGGGUGACCGGCCACAUUGGGACUGAGAUACGGCCCAGACCCCUACGGGAGGCAGCAGUGGGGAAUAUUGCACAAUGGGCGGAAGCCUGAUGCAGCAACGCCGCGUGCGGGAUGACGGCCUUCGGGUUGUAAACCGCUUUCGCCUGUGACGAAGCGUGAGUGACGGUAAUGGGUAAAGAAGCACCGGCUAACUACGUG